CUAGUGCAUCCACUGGUGGGGCGGCGCCACCCACUGCUCAGUCAUCAUCCGCCGUUGUAAACGGUGGAGGGAGGAGUCAGAUCUCUCAUCCGAUCAAAAGAUACUUACCCUUUGCUUCUAUGAGGCCACCUUUUGUUACACCUGAGGAUUACCACCGAUUUUCUAUACCUGGUGUUGAUUCUAGAAUUGGGUCUGCUAGUUUGCAGCCUGAAGCUAUUGUGGUUAAGUCACCUGCACUAAAGCGG
rnacentral:misc_RNA from 1 species